rnacentral:rRNA from 1 species
GAUGAACGCUAGCUACAGGCUUAACACAUGCAAGUCGAGGGGCAGCAUGAAGUUUGCUUGCAAACUUUGAUGGCGACCGGCGGAUGGGUGAGUAACGCGUAUCCAACCUGCCCCCUUCCCGGGCACAGCCCUUGGAAACGAGGAUUAACUCCCGAUGGUGUCAGUCAGGCGCAUGCCUUUCUGACCAAAUGUUUAAGGAAGGGGAUGGGGAUGCGUCCCAUUAGCUUGUUGGCGGGGUAACGGCCCACCAAGGCUCCGAUGGGUAGGGGUUCUGAGAGGAAGGUCCCCCACACUGGAACUGAGACACGGUCCAGACUCCUACGGGAGGCAGCAGUGAGGAAUAUUGGUCAAUGGAGGCAACUCUGAACCAGCCAAGUAGCGUGAGGGAAGACUGCCCUACGGGUUGUAAACCUCUUUUGUCGGGGAAUAAACCGCGCCACGUGUGGCGCUCUGCAUGUACCCGCAGAAUAAGGACCGGCUAAUUCCGUGCCAGCAGCCGCAGUAAUAC